rnacentral:lncRNA from 1 species
GAUCGCCUUAUUACUUGGAAGAUAAUUUUUAUCGUUAAUGCUAAGAUUCGGUGGAGGAAUAAAACGCGUGAAAGGAAACUCUCUGUAUUUAUCCGUGGCAGCAUUAGCGGAGAAUUAAGGAAAAGCUAGGUUGACGAAUUAGAAAAUCUCCACGAUGGGACAGUUCUCCCGAUUUCCAGCUUGAUUAACAUUACCAAGAUCGAAACCAUCCUGGACGCGUCGGUCUCGGAUUUUUAUCUUCGCCAACUUGUGUAUAUCCUCGCAAUCGGCAAAUGGCAUUCGGAUGGCAAAAGAUGCGAGGAUAGGAAAUGAUUGCGGCACUUGUUGCACCACUUGUCCUCGCAAUAUAUCUCCUCGGUUUAUUUCUCGAAUCGGGAUUUCAAUUCUAUUUUUAAAUUGCCAAGAACGGGAAUAAAUUAUAUAAGAAUUGAAAGUUUUCUUAAGAUUAAGGAGUUAUUUAUUAACAAAUGAUUUUUCAAACUUUCGAAAUAUGAAUAUUUUUUUACCGGAAAAGAAAAUUAAGAAAAUUUGAGAAACUUUUGUUAAAAAAUUUCCUUCUGUUACUGAGAAGAUAAAGAAAACCGUGGUAAAAACUUGGGACGAUGUUCCUUGCGUUGAUUUUCACGAAAUGGCAUAAUACGUAAAAGGAAAAAUUUAGAUCGAAUAGGCUUUUGUUGAAAAUUUUAAGAUCGAUAAGUU